rnacentral:lncRNA from 1 species
CCUAUUGACACAACACUUCACUGUUUUCUAAACCCUUUUGAGGAUUCACUGACUCAUCAGAUCUACACCACUCUCUGGUGAGGGGGCUGGGCAAGGGUUGUGCUCAUGAUAGAGCUGAAUCAACUGGUUCCCAGGAGGGCCAGUGACUUGCACAAAGUCAUCCAUCAGGUCACUGACAAGCUCUAUGACAAGGACCUUGAACUCCUGGCUCCUCCUAGUCCAGUUCUCUCUCUGUUCUAGCCCAAUGUCUCUCCUGGUAAUGUACUGUUAGGUAAUACUGUUUAUCAAACUUUAGUAUUUAAAGUAAUUUCUCAGACAAUCUUCAUGCGACAUCACCAACAGGUUAACAAAGCCAUUAAAGCUCCUAGUGAUUGGAACCUGCAAACAUGCCACUAGAACAUAGCGAAGUUGAUCAACCUGUGAUUGUGUUGCCUCACUUAAGAUGUGUACGCUGCCUGUUGCACAGCUCUUCCUUCAAUUCCAAAAGCAAACUCUCUCACUUUGGGAGGUACUGUGUCAGUUACUAUCACAGUGCUC